UACGAAGGGGGCUAGCGUUGCUCGGAAUCACUGGGCGUAAAGGGUGCGUAGGCGGGUCUUUAAGUCAGGGGUGAAAUCCUGGAGCUCAACUCCAGAACUGCCUUUUAUACUGAAGAUCUUGAGUUCGGGAGAGGUGAGUGGAACUGCGAGUGUAGAGGUGAAAUUCGUAGAUAUUCGCAAGAACACCAGUGGCGAAGGCGGCUCACUGGCCCGAUACUGACGCUGAGGCACGAAAGCGUGGGGAGCAAACAGG
rnacentral:rRNA from 1 species